rnacentral:lncRNA from 1 species
UUUCUUUUCUUUCCUUUUUCUUCUUUUUCUUCUUUUUAGCAGGAUCGACCUCAACUCCUCUUUCGUUCACAAUAAGCCUCGACAACUUACCGGACAACACUCCACAAGUGCACUGGUUCGGACUCAACCUCAGUCUGAGUAGUUUCGAUCCGGUCAAACAAUUUGCCCCAGAUCCACCGGAUGCCCCUCUUCGGCUUGGGACUUUGCUAUCA